rnacentral:rRNA from 1 species
UAACACAUGCAAGUCGAACGAAGCGAUUAAGAUGAAGUUUUCGGAUGGAAUCUUGAUUGACUGAGUGGCGGACGGGUGAGUAACGCGUGGAUAACCUGCCUCACACUGGGGGAUAACAGUUAGAAAUGACUGCUAAUACCGCAUAAGCGCACAGUGCCGCAUGGCAGUGUGUGAAAAACUCCGGUGGUGUGAGAUGGAUCCGCGUCUGAUUAGCCAGUUGGCGGGGUAACGGCCCACCAAAGCGACGAUCAGUAGCCGACCUGAGAGGGUGACCGGCCACAUUGGGACUGAGACACGGCCCAAACUCCUACGGGAGGCAGCAGUGGGGAAUAUUGCACAAUGGGCGAAAGCCUGAUGCAGCGACGCCGCGUGAGUGAAGAAGUAUUUCGGUAUGUAAAGCUCUAUCAGCAGGGAAGAAAAUGACGGUACCUGACUAAGAAGCCCCGGCUAACUACGUGCCAGCAGCCGCGGUAAUACGUAGGGGGCAAGCGUUAUCCGGAUUUACUGGGUGUAAAGGGAGCGUAGACGGCGAAGCAAGUCUGAAGUGAAAACCCAGGGCUCAACCCUGGGACUGCUUUGGAAACUGUUUUGCUAGAGUGUCGGAGAGGUAAGUGGAAUUCCUAGUGUAGCGGUGAAAUGCGUAGAUAUUAGGAGGAACACCAGUGGCGAAGGCGGCUUACUGGACGAUAACUGACGUUGAGGCUCG